UACACAUUUAUUUCAAAUGCAUGCAAAAUGUUUGCCAAGAUAAACUAUAUUUUUAUCUAUAAAAAUAGUUUCAAUAAUUUUUAAAAAUUGUUUGUUUUUAAUUAUGAAUACAUAUUAGUUCAUAUUUAUGGGGCACAUGUAAUAUUUUGAUACAAGCAUACAAUGCAUAAUGAUCAAAUCAAGGUAAUGUUAAACGCUUGAGGCGAUGUAUAUCUCCUUAUUUUUCUAACUGGACUUAAAUUCUAAAGAGACUAUAUAUAAGUUAAAAAUGAAGAAUAAAUAAGAGCUCAAUUAAACGGGAAUUUUAAAAGUUACAAUAAAUUUGGGAUAAAAUAUAAUGUAAGGUGUUUCAUAUGGAGAGCCAUCACUGCCUUUUGAUCACUGUUUCCAGAAAAGCACAGACUUGUGCACCUCCCUCUGUGCUUUCUUAUGUUUGGACAGUUGAACAUACCAAAACAGGUGAUGAGCAAACUUGCAAGCAGUUUUUACUGAUAGUUUUUACAUAGCAUAAUGAAGUAUAAUGUUAUAAAUAAAGAACUGUAAAAAAAAAAAAACACUGUGAGGCUUAUGCGUCUUCCAGACUUGCUUUUUUGAACUUUUCCAUACAUUUUUUGUUUUAGACCUAUUCCAUCUGGGCUAGCAGUUGUAAAAACAAAGCAGAGUGCAAUGAACUCCAUCCGUCUGUUUCUGUGGUACAGAUUUUAGCCUUCAUCCUAAUAAGAAACAUCCCUGGAUAUGCCCGUUCAGUUUACAGUUCAUUUUUUGCUUGGUUUGGAAAAAUUUCAUUAGAGCUAUUUAUUUGCCAGUAUCACAUAUGGCUGGCAGCGGAUACAAGGGGUAUCUUGGUACUGAUACCUGGAAACCCUAUGCUCAACAUCAUUGUCAGCACUUUCAUAUUUGUUUGUGUGGCACAUGAAAUUUCUCAGAUCACUAAUGAUCUUGCACAGAUUAUUAUUCCUAAAGAUAACUCAUCUCUCUUGAAAAGGUUGGCAUGUAUAGCUGCAUUUUUUUGUGGACUCCUCAUCUUAUCAUCCAUUCAAGAUAAAUCAAAACAUUAGGUUCCAAAAAUUCUAAAAAACCUAAACUCUUCAGGCUACCUUUGUGUGUCUCUAGAAGAGAAAAGCAUCUAUCUGGAGAUAUAAAUGUGUAUGUAAAUAUAAACGUUUUGGCAAGAGGACAGUUCUGUGACAUCUGUUAAACAUAUGUGGUUGUAUAUAUUGGAAAUGUACAUAUCCAAUGUGAAAUACUAAAACAAACAAACAAACAAAAAACCAGAAUGCAUUGUAUAGGAUUGCAUGUGAAGUCUUUUCUACUGAAUCUAUAUUUCCAUUUGUAAGUGAUUUUAAGUUAACAUAUGAAGGCAGGGAAAUGAUUACCUUUCCAGUAAAAAGUAUAGAUAAUUUAAUUAACUUAGUGACACCACCAAGUGUUUUGAUAUAACUAAAUUUGUGGUAAGAAGACUGUCUGCACCUGUAUUCAUUGUGGAACUUCCUCUUUCAUUGGAAACUUUCUUACUCAAGAAUGACGGCAGUAUUGUUUUCUUAUAUGUGCAAUGAAGUGGAAUGAUAAACAGUAUGCCUUUAAUUUAUAUGUGUUCUUGUUCUGAUGUUAUGUUUCCUGAAAUGAUUUUUCUUCCUAACUGUGGUUUUCAGGUAUGCAAGCCUAAAUCUUUGUACACUUUGUCUCACAGAAUAGUUCUGAGGCUCCAUGACAGGGUUUUGUCAUUGUUGAUGUUAUUGUUGCUUCUUUUUAUAAAAAAGCCAAAAAUUUUUUUCCAAUCCAAACGUUCACCUGUUUCCUUUCCUCAAGCUAUACCAGUGUAAUACCAGUUACCCUGUGGAUCCAUUUAAUAUGUUAUCCCCACUAAUUAAUUUUCGUAUAUUAUUUCCAAUAUUUGGAAAGCUCUUUAUAGCCAUUUGGUAUUUCCUAUUACCCACCUCCUAUUUUAAAUAUUUAUCAGUCUAAACUUGUGCAGUGUAGUAAACAUGCAAGUUGUUAUGAUUGAGCUGUAUUACCAUAAGUAGAAUUUUAAGUAAACUGGUGAAUUUGGGCAAUAAAUGUUUUUGCUUUUUGUUUGAUUUUUUUUUACAAGCUAACUUAGAGGUAUACAUUUAUUUAUCUGUUGUACAGAUUUGAUUAUGAUUUUAAUGUUUGAAAGAUUGCACUUGUUUGCUUUUACUAUGUGUGGGGUAAAAUAUAUUUUCUGUUCACAGUAUAUGAAAAUAUGGAGUAAUUUAAACAGUAAAUAAACAUUCUGUGGAUGCU
rnacentral:sRNA from 1 species